GACGAACGCUGGCGGCGUGCUUAAUACAUGCAAGUCGAACGGAAAGGCCCUGCUUUCACGGUUCUCGCGUUGCGAACGGGCGAGUAACACGUGGGUGAUCUGCCCUCCACUUCGGGAUAAGCAUGUUCAACAGGGUCUAAUUCCGGCUAGGUGCUAUUUUUAGUGGCAUGGUUGGAUAGUUUUUUCGGUGUUGGCUGAGCUCGCUGCCUAUCAGCUCGUUGGGGGGGUGAUGGCCUACCAAGGCGGCUACGGGUGGCCGGCCUGAGUGGGUGGACGGCCACACUGGGACUGAGAGACGGCCCAGACUCGUACGGGAGCGAGCAGUGGGGAAGCUUGAAGAAGGGGCGCAAGCCUGAUGCAGAGACGCCGCGGGGGGGAGGACGGCCUUAGGGUUGUAAAAGCAUUUCGCAAGGGACGAAGCUUUUUGUGACGGUACCUAGACAAGAAGCACCGGCUAACUACGUG
rnacentral:rRNA from 1 species